rnacentral:rRNA from 1 species
UACGUAGGGUGCAAGCGUUGUCCGGAAUUAUUGGGCGUAAAGAGCUCGUAGGCGGUCUGUCACGUCGGCUGUGAAAUCCCGAGGCUCAACCUCGGGUCUGCAGUCGAUACGGGCAAACUAGAGUAUUGCAGGGGAGACUGGAAUUCCUGGUGUAGCGGUGAAAUGCGCAGAUAUCAGGAGGAACACCGGUGGCGAAGGCGGUUCUCUGGGCCUGUACUGACGCUGAGGAGCGAAAGCGUGGGGAGCGAACAGG